rnacentral:lncRNA from 1 species
UCCCUCCAGGUCCUUCCUGCUCUACCUGCUGUGUUGAACAGACAGAGGACCUCAGUUAAUACAGUUAACUUGUUAAAUGAUUAAAGACUCCUUGCUUUUGCAUUGGAUAGGGUCUCUUGGUGAUUUUGUGGUUCAGAAUUUGGGCACAACACUAUCAGUUCUGUUGGUUGGAGAAACAGAUCUAAAAUGGAAGAAUGAGCCAGAUGGAUGGCAUGUAUAUGAUCCAUAGCUACCACUGCUCUACAGUUACUUUCAGGAAGUAACUGUUCCUGACAGCUUCUGUUGAGGUGACUGACCUGAUCCAAUCACAUUCCAUUGGUGACAACAGGCAAGGUAUUAUUCAAUGAUGGGAGCAGUUUCACUCAAAAAUAGGAUCAGGUUUGCAUGGACAGUGGUGGCAACCCAAGGUAAGACUCUCUGGACACAAUUUUUAAGCAGAGGAACCUUAGCUCUAUAAGCUUAGCUUUUAGGUUUGACUCAAGCACUCCACUGUAGAGAAGACAAAGCUAUCACUGAGAGCAGAUAUGCUUUUUCCAUGGCCCAUGCCCAUAGGGCUCUAUACAGGGAAUCAAAAUUUCUAACCUCAACAGUAAAAGAAAUCAAAACUAGAAAAGAAAUCAUAGCCCUAUUGAAAGCUAUAUGGUUAGAGUUAGGUGGUGUUGUGCCCAAAUUCUGAACCCCAAAAUUAGCAAGAUACCCGAUCCAAUGCAAAAGCAAAGAAUCUUUAAUCAAUUGACAAGUUAACUGUAUUAACUCGGAUCCUCAAUCCAUCAGGUCACAGAGGACCCGUGGGGCAGGAAAUUUAUUGGGGUAGAACAAGGGGAAUGUCUGGGGUCCACAAUAGUCUUAGGAUUGGUGCACUUGCAGGCUUAGGAAACCUGUCCUGUGUUGAUUGGUCAACUAACUGCAGCUGCAGCCAGAUCAUUAUGGCCUAUAGGCCCUCCCAAGGCAGUUGCUGUGCUAUGCAUUCCACUGUUACCGUAAAGUACAUCCAGAGCCCGACAGCUAACUUCUGAUUGGUUCCUUGCCACAUGGAGGGUCUCUGGCUUCCUAGUGACUGGGGCAAGGUUGGAAGCCCAGCAC